rnacentral:rRNA from 1 species
UCGAACGCGUGUAGCAAUACACGAGCGGCGCACGGGUGAGUAAUACGUGGGAACCAACCCAGAGGUUCGGAAUAACCGCGGGAAACUGCGGCUAAUACCGGAUGUCCCCUACGGGGGAAAGAUUUAUCGCCUUUGGACGGGCCCACGUCCGAUUAGCUAGUUGGUGAGGUAACGGCUCACCAAGGCAACGAUCGGUAGCUGGUCUGAGAGGACGACCAGCCACACUGGAACUGAGACACGGUCCAGACUCCUACGGGAGGCAGCAGUGGGGAAUAUUGGGCAAUGGAGGCAACUCUGACCCAGCCAUGCCGCGUGGGUGACGAAGGUCUUCGGAUUGUAAAGCCCUUUCGGCGGGGACGAUGAUGACGGUACCCGCAGAAGAAGCCCCGGCUAACUUCGUGCCAGCAGCCGCGGUAAUACGAAGGGGGCUAGCGUUGUUCGGAAUUACUGGGCGUAAAGGGCGUGUAGGCGGCCCGUUAAGACAGGUGUGAAAUUCCUGGGCUCAACCCAGGACGUGCGCCUGUGACUGGCGGGCUUGAGUCCGGGAGAGGAUGGUGGAACUCCCAGUGUAGAGGUGAAAUUCGUAGAUAUUGGGAAGAACACCCGUGGCGAAGGCGGCCAUCUGGACCGGUACUGACGCUAAGGCGCGACAGCGUGGGGAGCAAACAGGAUUAGAUACCCUGGUAGUCCACGCCGUAAACGAUGAGUGCUAGACGUUGGGAAGCCUAGCUUUUCAGUGUCGCAGCUAACGCAUUAAGCACUCCGCCUGGGGAGUACGGCCGCAAGGUUGAAACUCA